AGAGUUUGAUCCUGGCUCAGAGUUAACGCUGGCGGCGUGCCUAACACAUGCAAGUCGAGCGAAGAGUACCAGAAUAUCGGGCUCUUAGCGGCAGACGGGUGAGUAACACGUAAACUAUUUGCCCUCGAAUGGGAGACAACCUGACGAAAGUUUGGCUAAUACCCCAUACAAUCCUCUCGGAGCAUUCCGAGGGGAUGAAAGGCCCGCAAGGGUCGUUCGAGGAGAAGUUUGCGGCCUAUCAGCUAGUUGGCGGUGUAACGGACCACCAAGGCUAUGACGGGUAGCCGAUCUAAAAGGAUGACCGGCCACAAGGGCACUGAGACACGGGCCCUACUCCUACGGGAGGCAGCAGUGGGGAAUUUUGGACAAUGGACGAAAGUCUGAUCCAGCGACGCCGCGUGAAGGACGAAGGUUUUCGGAUCGUAACUUCUUUUGCAGGGGACGAAUAUGCGCAAAGCAUUUGACGGUACUCUGCGAAUAAGCCACGGCUAACUACGUGCCAGCCGCCGCGGUAAUAC
rnacentral:rRNA from 1 species